GCCAGCAUGGUGCAAUGGUUUGAGUAUUAGACUAUGACUCUAGAGACCAGGUUUUGAAUCCCUGCUCAGCCA